ACUUCUGACCCAUCGUAGUGGUGGCUCAAGGGUGCAGGAUGAGUGGACACACACACACACCUCUGUAGGCUUGUUGACUGGAUGGAAUUUUCUGUAAUUGCAGCAAACGGGCCCCUGCGAGGCACCGGUUUCUCCUUUACGUGGCAGAUGGUCCGGCACUCUGCUGUUGCAUCAGUAUUUCAGUGUGGAGUCGAUUGAUGGGACUAUGUUUCAUGAAGCCAUUAGAAGACUGUUGCUGACUGAGAGGAGGUGGAUUUCUUCCAAAGCAGAGGGCAGAGGGGGCCGAGUCUGUGAAUGAAGAGAGAGCCUGGAACGUGUUUUGUCGGGAGAGUUCAACUGCGGGGCUUUGGGUUCAAAUCGAAUGACAUCGGGAAAUCAGAGCCUUGUGUUACAUGGAGGAAUUAGAUCUCUUGUGUUUUAUGUUAUUCUUGUCGAGGCUUUGCUCAAUACUCGUGGGGCAUUGCAUGCCGUCAGACACCUUGUGAGGCACCUACAGUGCCUUCAGAAAGUAUUCAUACCCGUUGACUUAUUUCAUAUUGUGUUACAGCCUGAAUUCAAAAUGGAUGAAAAAAAAAAACUCUCACCCAUCUUCACACAAUAAAUACCCUGUAAUAACAAAGUGAAAACAUGUUUUUAGACAUUUUUGCAAAUGUAUUGAAAAUGAAAUACAUAAAUUAGUGUGCACACCCCUGAGUCAAUGUGUCACACCCUGACCAUAGUUUGCUUUGUAUGUUCUAUGUUUUGUUUGGUCAGGGUGUGAUCUGAGUGGGCAUUCUAUGUUGGAUGUCUUGUUUGUCUGUUUCUGUGUUUGGGCCUGAUAUGGUUCUCAAUCAGAGGCAGGUGUUAGUCAUUGUCUCUGAUUGGGAACCAUAUUUAGGUAGCCUGUUUGGUGUUGGGUUUUGUGGGUGAUUGUCUCCUGUGUCAGUGUUUGUGCCACACAGGACUGGUUUGGGUUUACACGGUUUUUGUAGUUUAUUCAUGUAUAGUUUUCUUAUUAAAAAACAAACAUGAAUUUCAACCGCGCUGUAUUUUGGUCCUCCUCUCCUUCAACAGAAGAAUCCCGUUACACAAUGCAUGUUUAGAAUCCCCUUUGGCAGCGUUUACAGCUGUGAGUCUUUCUGGGUAAGUCUGGAUCAAUAAAAAACCCUAUUACGCAUU